ensembl:lncRNA
GGGAAUGAAUAGCUUUACCAUAAUUCGGUGUGGUUCAGUAAUGUAGAACAUGUAGCCAUGACUACUGCUUUAGUUAUCAGAUACAUUAACGUGAACCAUGCAUCUGGAUACAGUCUAACCCUGAAGCAUUUGACAUUGAUCUACAGAGCAUGACUCAAUUAUGUUCUACUUACUCUACUACACCCAAACUUGCUCUAUAGUCUCUAGACUAGUGCUAAACAAUACACAGAAGAUGCAGAAGUCCAGUUUGUCUCUUUAUUCAGAAUAAUAAGUGUAAAUUAUAAUACAAGCAACCAGUUAAGACAUUCAGAAUGGAUGGAACAGUAACAUACAGUAAUCUCCCAGAGUGGUUACUAUGGUGAUGGAGUACAGCGCGCGAGAGAGAGAGAGAAAGAGAGAGAGAGAGAGGGGAUGAGGGGUCAUUCACAACACUAGCUCACAUGUCAACAUGUAAAGGAGAGAACUAUAUACACUCUAAUGCCUCAGAUGUCAUAUGCUGUCACACACACACGACCUGCAGUAUAUUGUCUGCACGCACAGAUAUGAACACUCAGGCACAUGCUUGUGGAGAAAAACAUGAGUACAGACAGAGACGGGCCCACACACUGGCACACAGAGGCAGAUGCAAAAGUCAAUAAACAAUCUAGCUACGGCCACACAGCAUCCUCCCUUUGUGACUGAGGAGAGAGGGGGUUGCUGCAUGCUGUCUGCCAGGGACAGAGGGAGGGGGGGAGAGGAGGGGUUGCUGCAUGCUG